GACGAACGCUGGCGGCGUGCUUAACACAUGCAAGUCGUACGGUAAGGCCCUUUCGGGGGUACACGAGUGGCGAACGGGUGCGUAACACGUGAGUAACCUGCCCACAACUUUGGGAUAACGCUAGGAAACUGGUGCUAAUACUGGAUAUGUGCUCCUGCUGCAUGGUGGGGGUUGGAAAGCUCCGGCGGUUGUGGAUGGACUCGCGGCCUAUCAGCUUGUUGGUGGGGUAGUGGCCUACCAAGGCGGCGACGGGUAGCCGGCCUGAGAGGGUGACCGGCCACAUUGGGACUGAGAGACGGCCCAGACUCCUACGGGAGGCAGCAGGGGGGAAUAUUGCACAAUGGGCGCAAGCCUGAUGCAGCAACGCCGCGUGCGGGAUGACGGCCUUCGGGUUGGAAACCGCUUUCAGCAGGGACGAAGCUUUUUGUGACGGUACCUGCAGAAGAAGCACCGGCUAACUACGUG
rnacentral:rRNA from 1 species